GAUGAACGCUAGCGGCAGGCUUAAUACAUGCAAGUCGAGGGGCAGCAGUCCCGUAGCAAUACGGGAGCUGGCGACCGGCAAACGGGUGCGGAACACGUACGCAACUUUCCUUCAAGUGAGGAAUAGCCCAGGGAAACUUGGAUUAAUACCUCGUAAUAUUAUGAAGUGGCAUCACUUUAUAAUUAUAGCUCCGGUGCUUGAAGAUGGGCGUGCGCCUGAUUAGGUAGUUGGCGGGGUAACGGCCCACCAAGCCUACGAUCAGUAACUGGUGUGAGAGCACGACCAGUCACACGGGCACUGAGACACGGGCCCGACUCCUACGGGAGGCAGCAGUAAGGAAUAUUGGGCAAUGGACGCAAGUCUGACCCAGCCAUGCCGCGUGGAGGAUGGAAGGUCCUCUGGAUUGUAAACUUCUUUUAUCU
rnacentral:rRNA from 1 species